rnacentral:rRNA from 1 species
GAUGAACGCUGGCGGCGUGCCUAAUACAUGCAAGUCGAGCGAACAGAUGAGGAGCUUGCUCCUCUGACGUUAGCGGCGGACGGGUGAGUAACACGUGGAUAACCUACCUAUAAGACUGGGAUAACUUCGGGAAACCGGAGCUAAUACCGGAUAAUAUAUUGAACCGCAUGGUUCAAUAGUGAAAGACGGUUUUGCUGUCACUUAUAGAUGGAUCCGCGCCGCAUUAGCUAGUUGGUAAGGUAACGGCUUACCAAGGCAACGAUGCGUAGCCGACCUGAGAGGGGGAUCGGCCCAACGGGAACGGAAAACCGGUCCCGACCCCAAGGGGAGGCAGCAGAAGGAAAUCUUCCGCAAUGGGCGAAAGCCUAAGGGGCCACCCCCGGGGGGGUGAUGAAGGUCUUCGGUUUGAAAAACUUUUUUAUUGGGAAAAAAAAAAUGUGUAAGUAACUAUCCACGUUUUGCCGGAACUUAAACAAAAAGCCCCGGCUAACUCCGG